CGAACAAAGCGAAACUCGCAAAUAAAAAAAUCAACAAGCAAGGAAUGAAUGAUGAUCUCAAGGACUCGAAGUAGAGAAUACCGGGUAUGUACAAGUAUAUUAAUUAAAAGGAUAUAAGAAAAAGGAAUGGUUCUUUCGAAAUAUAAGAAACGGACGCGGUGAUGAAUUUGAAUGAACAACGAGGCGUACUGCUUCUUACUGA